AUAUCUCUCCGUACGGGAAGGAUGAGAAGCUUCGACUAAGGUUCGAUUCGAGCGCAGCGAGAAAGCGUUGCCGCAGGCAACGACCCGAAGGG
rnacentral:sRNA from 1 species